rnacentral:rRNA from 21 species
GUUAAGCGACUAAGCGUACACGGUGGAUGCCCUGGCAGUCAGAGGCGAUGAAGGACGUGCUAAUCUGCGAAAAGCGUCGGUAAGGUGAUAUGAACCGUUACAGCCGGCGAUGUCCGAAUGGGGAAACCCAGUGCAAUUCGUUGCACUAUCGUUAACUGAAUACAUAGGUUAACGAGGCGAACCGGGGGAACUGAAACAUCUAAGUACCCCGAGGAAAAGAAAUCAACCGAGAUUCCCCCAGUAGCGGCGAGCGAACGGGGAGCAGCCCAGAGUCUGAAUCAGCUUGUGUGUUAGUGGAACGGUCUGGAAAGUCCGACGGUACAGGGUGAUAGUCCCGUACACCAAAAUGCACAGGUUGUGAACUCGAAGAGUAGGGCGGGACACGUGGUAUCCUGUCUGAAUAUGGGGGGACCAUCCUCCAAGGCUAAAUACUCCUGACUGACCGAUAGUGAACCAGUACCGUGAGGGAAAGGCGAAAAGAACCCCGGCGAGGGGAGUGAAAAAGAACCUGAAACCGUGUACGUACAAGCAGUGGGAGCACCUUCGGGUGUGACUGCGUACCUUUUGUAUAAUGGGUCAGCGACUUAUAUUCUGUAGCAAGGUUAACCGUAUAGGGGAGCCGCAGGGAAACCGAGUCUUAACUGGGCGUUAAGUUGCAGGGUAUAGACCCGAAACCCGGUGAUCUAGCCAUGGGCAGGUUGAAGGUUGGGUAACACUAACUGGAGGACCGAACCGACUAAUGUUGAAAAAUUAGCGGAUGACUUGUGGCUGGGGGUGAAAGGCCAAUCAAACCGGGAGAUAGCUGGUUCUCCCCGAAAGCUAUUUAGGUAGCGCCUCGUGAAUUCAUCUUCGGGGGUAGAGCACUGUUUCGGCUAGGGGGUCAUCCCGACUUACCAACCCGAUGCAAACUACGAAUACCGAAGAAUGUUAUCACGGGAGACACACGGCGGGUGCUAACGUCCGUCGUGAAGAGGGAAACAACCCAGACCGCCAGCUAAGGUCCCAAAGUCACAGUUAAGUGGGAAACGAUGUGGGAAGGCACAGACAGCCAGGAUGUUGGCUUAGAA